rnacentral:rRNA from 1 species
CGUCAAAUCAUCAUGCCCCUUAUGACCUGGGCUACACACGUAAUACAAUGGUCGCUAACAACGGGAAGCGAAGGCGCGAGCCGGAGCAAAACCCCAAAAGCGGUCUCAGUUCGGAUCGCAGGCUGCAACUCGCCUGCGUGAAGUCGGAAUUGCUAGUAAUCGCGGAUCAGCAUGCCGCGGUGAAUACGUUCCCGGGCCUU